rnacentral:rRNA from 1 species
GAUGAACGCUAGCGGCAGGCUUAACACAUGCAAGUCGAGGGGUAUUUAUCUUCGGAUAGGGAGACCGGCGCACGGGUGCGUAACGCGUAUGCAAUCUACCUUUUACAGAGGGAUAGCCCAGAGAAAUUUGGAUUAAUACCUCAUAGUAUAUAGACUCGGCAUCGAGAUUAUAUUAAAGUCACAACGGUAAAAGAUGAGCAUGCGUCCCAUUAGCUAGUUGGUAAGGUAACGGCUUACCAAGGCUACGAUGGGUAGGGGUCCUGAGAGGGAGAUCCCCCACACUGGUACUGAGACACGGACCAGACUCCUACGGGAGGCAGCAGUGAGGAAUAUUGGACAAUGGGCGAAAGCCUGAUCCAGCCAUGCCGCGUGCAGGAUGACGGUACUAUGGAUUGUAAACUGCUUUUAUACGAGAAGAAACACUGCUACGUGUAGCAGCUUGACGGUAUCGUAAGAAUAAGGAUCGGCUAACUCCGUG